CUUAUUGUCCUUGGUAUUAUCUUCUAGGCUCCUGCUUCCACUGGUGCGGGCAAGCCUGUUGCAAAAGCUGUCAAGAAAGAGAGCAGCAGUGAUGAAGAUGAGGAUGAUAGCUCAGAUGAUGAACCUCCAAAGGCACAAAAGAAUAUAGCAACUAAGGCUACUCCAAAGCCAAAGGUACAAGAGAGUUCUGAUGAGAGUGAAGAAGAGCCACAAAAGAAGAAGGUGAAAGUUCAGUCGAACAAGGACAGCAGCAGUGAUGAAGAAGAUGGCUCUGAAGAUUCUGAGGAUUCGUCAGAGGAAUCUGAAGAUGAAAAGCCAGCAAAGACGCCAAAAAAGGUA